GAUGAACGCUGGCGGCGUGCUUAACACAUGCAAGUCGAACGGUGAAGCAGAGCUUGCUCUGUGGAUCAGUGGCGAACGGGUGAGUAACACGUGAGCAACCUGCCCUGGACUCUGGGAUAAGCGCUGGAAACGGCGUCUAAUACUGGAUACGAGACGUGGCCGCAUGGUCAACGUUUGGAAAGAUUUUUUGGUUCAGGAUGGGCUCGCGGCCUAUCAGCUUGUUGGUGAGGUAAUGGCUCACCAAGGCGUCGACGGGUAGCCGGCCUGGGAGGGUGACCGGCCACACUGGGACUGAGACACGGCCCAGACUCCUACGGGAGGCAGCAGUGGGGAAUAUUGCACAAUGGGCGAAAGCCUGAUGCAGCAACGCCGCGUGAGGGAUGACGGCCUUCGGGUUGUUAACCUCUUUUAGCAAGGAAGAAGCGAAAGUGACGGUACUUGCAGAAAAAGCGCCGGCUAACUACGUGCCAGCCGCCGCCGUAA
rnacentral:rRNA from 1 species